CGCAGCCGCGUCACAACCGACAUUUGGCCGAUUAGGUAAAUUAGCUGAUAUGAUGGUGAGAGUGAGUGAUGAAAUUGAAAAGCGAGGAGGAAACAUAUACGUUGAAGAGGUAAGGGAAAAUAUAAACAAAUGGCUGAAGUUGAGUAAAGUGGAUUGAUAGCAAAUCGUAGAAAUUUAUUGUGAGGGUAGAGUUGGAGAUAUAAUUUGAAUAAAGUGUUAGUGGCUGAGGUGAAUUAGGUGGAGUUUGGUCAGCAGAUCACAGUAACGCACACUCUGACGGACGACAAUACAGUGGUGCUCGAACUAUUGCGGACAGCCCACGGAAGAGUAAGACGACAUUUAGACGAACGACAUAUAAACGAGUAGGACAGACAGAAAAGGUCAAAAAGGACGAUUGAGACGGAAGACAAAGGAGCAAAAACAAACUAAAUUUGCAUUCUCAACCUAUCACCGUCGAGCUGUCAACGCCUCUCUCCUCACCAGUUCAAACGAUCACAACAGCGGAUACGAUAGCAAAACUGUUGCUUUUCAAAAUUAUGCGGGAAAGUGUUUUCGGAUGUUCUUUAAAUUCAAUGCCUCGAAUUCGUGCAGUCCAAAUCAAUAUACAAAUAUCGGAGGACAUAUAGGAAAUGUAUGGCGCAAUGUUCCCAGACGGCUUCGAUUUCCAACCAAACCCCAGCCAGGGACCGGAUCUCGUUCUGGGGCAAUCACAGUGGCCACCGUGUUGAAAUGCUGCAACCUACACUCAAAUUAAUCUGCUGAUAAAUUUUAUGUGCGAAACUCGCAUAGAAGUCACUUGUAGAACUGAUUUUUAGAAUCAUGUGCGUCUCAUGUGAAAUAUGUGCGAACUUAUUCCAUUUCAAAACAUAAUUGAAAUAAUUUUAAGUGCAAUGGCUAUUGAAAUGAAACUAUACGACUUACGCACAUAAAAUUUAUAACAUUGGUAAUGAACUGUUGUUUGUUGUCAACAAGACUGAAAACUAAAGUCAGCACCGUUUAAAAUUGAACAAAAAUUGAGAUGCAUCAACAUAAUCUACAAGUAUAGUGUUAUCUGUGUAAUAUAGCAGAUUUAAACAUAUUGUCGACCGACAGAUAUGGGAUAAUGUUUGGUAUUAUGUCCCCCAACAAACACCCCGCGGCGCAGUAUUUGAAAAACUUCCGGUAGCUGGUUAAGAAACCAAACUUGCUGCUCAAUAUGGUAGAAGCAUGUGCAGUACCAUAAUUUGCUAUGCUCUAAUCCAAGGAUUCAACCAGACCUAUCACCGAAUUCGAGGAUAGAGAUACACUUACAGGAGCUUCUAGACGAUAGAGCGCAGUUUUUUCGAUGCGGAAAUGCUUUAAUUAUUACAUACAACGAUUAUGCAUAAAUGUAACAGCAUUUUAUUUCAAUAAAUCAUUUAAUUACUGAGCAAUUAUUUAAUCUUUGUUUCAAACCAAAACUUAUGAUUAUCAAGAAUAUUUGCAAACGCAAUAAAUAAGAACGAAUUAUUUUUGUCAUGAAUUAUAUGUGCGGAUCUAA